GACGAACGCUGGCGGCGUGCCUAAUACAUGCAAGUAGAACGCUGAGGACUGGUGCUUGCACUGGUCUAAGGAGUUGCGAACGGGUGAGUAACGCGUAGGUAACCUACCUCAUAGCGGGGGAUAACUAUUGGAAACGAUAGCUAAUACCGCAUGACAAUAGGGUACACAUGUACCCUAUUUAAAAGGGGCAAAUGCUUCACUAUGAGAUGGACCUGCGUUGUAUUAGCUAGUUGGUAAGGUAACGGCUUACCAAGGCGACGAUACAUAGGGGGACUGAGAGGUUAACCCCCCACACUGGUACUGAGACACGGACCAG
rnacentral:rRNA from 1 species